GUUUCUGGCUAUACCAUCCAAAUGUGACUGAUCUCAUCUGAUCUAAUAAACUAAGCAGGAUCAGAUGUACUUGGAUUAUGGAAUAACUGGGCCCUAAAAACU
rnacentral:rRNA from 1 species